rnacentral:rRNA from 1 species
UGCAGUCGAGCGAAUGGAUUAAGAGCUUGCUCUUAUGAAGUUAGCGGCGGACGGGUGAGUAACACGUGGGUAACCUGCCCAUAAGACUGGGAUAACUCCGGGAAACCGGGGCUAAUACCGGAUAACAUUUUGAACCGCAUGGUUCGAAAUUGAAAGGCGGCUUCGGCUGUCACUUAUGGAUGGACCCGCGUCGCAUUAGCUAGUUGGUGAGGUAACGGCUCACCAAGGCAACGAUGCGUAGCCGACCUGAGAGGGUGAUCGGCCACACUGGGACUGAGACACGGCCCAGACUCCUACGGGAGGCAGCAGUAGGGAAUCUUCCGCAAUGGACGAAAGUCUGACGGAGCAACGCCGCGUGAGUGAUGAAGGCUUUCGGGUCGUAAAACUCUGUUGUUAGGGAAGAACAAGUGCUAGUUGAAUAAGCUGGCACCUUGACGGUACCUAACCAGAAAGCCACGGCUAACUACGUGCCAGCAGCCGCGGUAAUACGUAGGUGGCAAGCGUUAUCCGGAAUUAUUGGGCGUAAAGCGCGCGCAGGUGGUUUCUUAAGUCUGAUGUGAAAGCCCACGGCUCAACCGUGGAGGGUCAUUGGAAACUGGGAGACUUGAGUGCAGAAGAGGACAGUGGAAUUCCAUGUGUAGCGGUGAAAUGCGUAGAGAUAUGGAGGAACACCAGUGGCGAACGCGACUUUCUGGUCUGUAACUGACACUGAGG